rnacentral:tRNA from 1 species
GCGGGCGUAGUUCAGCCUGGUUUAGAAUAUUCCCCUGUCACGGGAAAGAUCACGGGUUCAAAUCCCGUCGCCCGCG